AGCGGCGAACGGGUGAGAAAUGCUUCGGAAUCUGCCCAAUGGUGGGGAAUAACCAGCCGAAAGGUUGGCUAAUACCGCAUGAGCCCUACGGGGGAAAGCAGGGGAUCGCAAGACCUUGCGCCGAUGGAUGAGCCGAAGUCGGAUUAGCUAGUUGGUAGGGUAACGGCCUACCAAGGCGACGAUCCGUAGCUGGUCUGAGAGGACGACCAGCCACACUGGGACUGAGACACGGCCCAGACUCCUACGGGAGGCAGCAGUGGGGAAUAUUGGACAAUGGGGGAAACCCUGAUCCAGCGACGCCGCGUGUGUGAAGAAGGCCUGCGGGUUGUAAGGCACUUUUAGUGGGGAUGAAAAGCUCAAAGCUAACACCUCUGGGUCUUGACCUAACCCACAGAAAAAGCACCGGCUAACUCUGUGCCAGCAGCCGCGGUAAUACAGAGGGUGCGAGCGUUAAUCGGAAUUACUGGGCGUAAAGCGUACGUAGACGGUUGGAUAAGUCGGAUGUGAAAGCCCCGGGCUCAACCUGGGAAUGGCAUUCGG
rnacentral:rRNA from 1 species